rnacentral:rRNA from 1 species
GAGCGAAGAGGGAAGAGCCUAAACCGGUUGAGAGGUGAGAGGUGGGAAGUUAGAGGUGAGGGAUAAAGCCAAUCUCACAUUCGACAUCUCAAUUCUCACCUCUCAACCGGGGUAGAGGGACCCUGGCAAAGCGUAGCGGAACUUAGCCGAAGCGGUCUGGAAAGGCCCAUCGUAGGAGGUAACAAUCCUGUAGGCGAAAAGGCAAGCGAAGCGCAGGGACUCCCGAGUACCACGGAGCACGUGAAAUUUCGUGGGAAUCAGCGAGGACCAUCUCGUAAGGCUAAAUACUUCUUAGCGACCGAUAGCGGACAGUACCGUGAGGGAAAGGUGAAAAGCACCCCGGGAGGGGAGUGAAAGAGUACCUGAAACCGUAUGCUUACAAGCAAUCAGAGCCUGGCGCGUGAGCGCGGGUGAUGGUGUGCCUUUUGUAGAAUGAACUGGCGAGUUGCGGCAGCCAGCGAGAUUAAGGCGGAGAGCCGGAGUCGGAGCGAAAGCGAGUCUGAACAGGGC